rnacentral:rRNA from 1 species
CUGAAGACUCUACUUGACUAGCUGAGAGGAGGUGCAUGGCCGUCGUCAGUUCGUACUGUGAAGCAUCCUGUUAAGUCAGGCAACGAGCGAGACCCACGCCAACAGUUGCCAGCUCGUCCUCCGGGAUGGUGGGGACACUGUUAGGACCGCCUCUGCUAAAGAGGAGGAAGGAAUGGGCAACGGUAGGUCAGCAUGCCCCGAAUUAUCUGGGCUACACGCGGGCUACAAUGGGUGGGACAAUGGGUAUCGACACCGAAAGGUGAAGGCAAUCUCCUAAACCCAUCCGUAGUUCGGAUUGUGGGCUGCAACUCGCCCACAUGAAGCUGGAAUCUGUAGUAAUCGUGUCUCAAAAUGGCACGGUGAAUAUGUCCCUGCUCCUU